UUGCUACUGGACCUAGCGGCGGACGGGUGAGUAAUACUUAGGAAUCUGCCUAUUAGUGGGGGACAACGUUUCGAAAGGGAUGCUAAUACCGCAUACGCCCUACGGGGGAAAGCAGGGGAUCAUUUGACCUUGCGCUAAUAGAUGAGCCUAAGUCGGAUUAGCUAGUUGGUGGGGUAAAGGCCUACCAAGGCGACGAUCUGUAGCGGGUCUGAGAGGAUGAUCCGCCACACUGGGACUGAGACACGGCCCAGACUCCUACGGGAGGCAGCAGUGGGGAAUAUUGGACAAUGGGGGGAACCCUGAUCCAGCCAUGCCGCGUGUGUGAAGAAGGCCUUAUGGUUGUAAAGCACUUUAAGCGAGGAGGAGGCUACUUUGGUUAAUACCUAAAGAUAGUGGACGUUACUCGCAGAAUAAGCACCGGCUAACUCUGUGCCAGCAGCCGCGGUAAUACAGAGGGUGCGAGCGUUAAUCGGAUUUACUGGGCGUAAAGCGUACGUAGGCGGCUUUUUAAGUCGGAUGUGAAAUCC
rnacentral:rRNA from 1 species